rnacentral:rRNA from 1 species
AGUGGAUGGGGAGCAACCUAGUUGUGCGUGUGUAAAGGUAGUGCCAAGAAAAGCGGUGAUCAUGAUGAAAAUCAAUUCCCGGUACCCGAAACCGACACAGGUGGGCAAGUAGAGAAUACUAAGGGGCGCGAGGUAACUCUCUCCAAGGAACUCGGCAAAAUGACCCCGUAACUUAGGGAGAAGGGGUGCCACCGAGAGGUGGUCGCAGUGAAGAGGCCCAGGCGACUGUUUAGCAAAAACAUAGGUCUCUGCAAACUCGAAAGAGGAGGUAUAGGGGCUGACGCCUGCCCAGUGCCGGAAGGUUAAAGAAGUUGGUCAGUCUUAGGAUAAAGCUAGCGACUGAAGCCCCGGUGAACGGCGGCCGUAACUAUAACGGUCCUAAGGUAGCGAAAUUCCUUGUCGGGUAAGUUCCGACCCGCACGAAAGGCGUAACGAUCUGGGCGCUGUCUCGGAGAGAGGCUCGGCGAAAUAGGAUUGUCUGUGAAGAUACGGACUACCUGCAUUUGGACAGAAAGACCCUAUGAAGCUUUACUAUAGCUUGGAAUUGUGUUCGGGCUUCCUGUGCGCAGGAUAGGUGGGAGGCGAAGAAGGUAUUCUUGUGGGGAUACUGGAGCCAACGGUGAGAUACCACUCUCAGGAGGCUAGAAUUCUAACUUAAUUAAGGACAGUUUCAGGUGGGUAGUUUGACUGGGGCGGUCGCCUCCAAAGAGGUAACGGAGGCGUACAAAGGUUCCCUCAGACUGGUUGGAAAUCAGUCGCAGAGUGCAAAGGCAGAAGGGAGCUUGACUGCGAGAAGUACAGUUCGAGCAGGGUGGAAACACGGUCUUAGUGAUCCGACGGUGCUGUGUGGAAGGGCCGUCGCUCAACGGAUAAAAGUUACUCUAGGAUAACAGGCUGAUCUCCCCCAAGAGUUCACAUCGACGGGGAGGUUUGGCACCUCGAUGUCGGCUCAUCGCAACCUGGGGCGGAAGUACGUCCCAAGGGUUGGGCUGUUCGCCCAUUAAAGCGGUACGUGAGCUGGGUUCAGAACGUCGUGAGACAGUUCGGUCCAUAUCCGAUGUAGGCGUGAGAAUAUUGAGAGGAGCCUUCCUUAGUACGAGAGGACCGGGAAGGACGCACCGCUGGUGUACCUGUUAUGAUGCCAAUUGUAAACGCAGGGUAGCCAAGUGCGGAGAGGAUAACCGCUGAAAGCAUCUAAGUGGGAAGCCCACCUCAAGAUGAGUAUUCUGGUGUAAGGUCACGGGAAGACGACCCGUAAAUAGGCACGAGGUGGAAGUGCAGAGAUGUAUGAAGCCGAAGUGUACUAAUAGACCGUCGGCUUGAC